GACGAACGCUGGCGGCGUGCCUAAUACAUGCAAGUAGAACGCUGAAGGAGGAGCUUGCUUCUCUGGAUGAGUUGCGAACGGGUGAGUAACGCCCAGGUAACCUGCCUGGUAGCGGGGGAUAACUAUUGGAAACGAUAGCUAAUACCGCAUAAGAGUAGAUGUUGCAUGACAUUUACUUAAAAGGUGCAAUUGCAUCACUACCAGAUGGACCUGCGUUGUAUUAGCUAGUUGGUGGGGUAACGGCUCACCAAGGCGACGAUACUUAGCCGACCUGAGAGGGUGAUCGGCCACACUGGGACUGAGACACGGCCCAGACUCCUACGGGAGGCAGCAGUAGGGAAUCUUCGGCAAUGGACGGAAGUCUGACCGAGCAACGCCGCGUGAGUGAAGAAGGUUUUCGGAUCGUAAAGCUCUGUUGUAAGAGAAGAACGAGUGUGAGAGUGGAAAGUUCACACUGUGACGGUAUCUUACCAGAAAGGGACGGCUAACUACGUGC
rnacentral:rRNA from 1 species